UUCUGAAUCUCGGAAUUUUUAUGGAGUACCCUGCAAUAGCAUGUUUGUUGUUAUGGCUGUUUUUAUUUGUGUUUAGAAGGCAACCCAGCUAAGAGAUAGAGUUUCAGUGACAUGAAGAGUGUGAAGUGAAACACCUAUCACCAUGCUACUGUAAUACAUUAUGACACUUUCCUUAGCAUCAGGAAAUUUAUCUAUACAUGAGGAGUAAGACUGUUUGUUCCUGUUAUUUCCAUUUUUACGGUUUUUUCAUCAUGAUAAUUGAAGUGUGCUUCUUAGAAAAGAGCACACAGUUUCUUUAUGGAAUCGUGUGGUCCUGGCCCGGAGAUUCUUGUGCCAAUGC